GUAGGUGAACCUGCGGAAGGAUCAUUAUCGUGGGGCUUCGGCCCCGUCGAGAUAGAACCCUUGCCUUUUGAGUACCGUCCGUUUCCUCGGCAGGUCCGCCUGCCAGGGACACAACAAACCCUUUUUUACCUGUAACAGUCUGAAUAACAAACAAAAAUUAAAACUUUCAACAACGGAUCUCUUGGUUCUG
rnacentral:misc_RNA from 1 species